GCUGGCCAUGGUGCUGCCCGGGAUCUGGAACUCCCCGCUGCUGGAUGCUCUCCCCUACUGUAGAUCUGAAGGAGUCAGGGGAAAGGUCGCACAGAGUAGUACCAGUCCCCGUCCAAGUGAAAUAUAGUGACAUGCACUGGAUCAUUUAACAAAGCGAAACGUGUUGCUCAUGGGAACUUCAGCAGAACAUGAAGCAUUAACUGCAGGCGUUCGCCGGCCAACAGAGACUUGGAAUCACAAUCCUGUAACCGAUUUAAAAACCACGGCAGGUGAUCUGGAGCGGAGAUUUGAACAUUUUAUUCCGCUGUUCAUCCCUCGCUCGCUCCACUUUUCCCGUUGGAUUCAAUUCAUUUUCCCCUCCGCGCUCUCAGAGAGGCAAACGCAAACAAACACACGCCCAGAAUGUAGCGGAACAUGUGUCCAGGCUCCCGCUCCAUCUGGUCCAUUGAGAAAACCGUUCCUCACACAGCAGCGGGGGGUGUGAGAGGGGAAGCGAAUGCAGCACAAACCGUCCUGAAACACUGACCACACUGGAUUUCACUUUGGUUUCCAACACACAAUUAUUCACCAAGAGUAAUGUCCAAAAACAAUAAAAAGUAAAUCCAUUCUACUGACUGCGCUGGAGCAGUAGAAGGUAGUCGUACUCACAUUAAGGGGAGUGACAACAUUAAUUAAUUGUGUUUUAGCUCAUAAUCUGCUCAGUGAACGGACAUCUGGUAGCGGAAAAAGCUGUUUUAACAGAGAGGGAGAGAACAGACUAAAUACUGAGCUCUGAUCAAAAUCAAUACUGAGCAGCAGCGCAAGAAUGUCUACAGUUAAUACAUGUAGAGUAUGUUUUAGGACAACAGGAAACAUAUGAGGGUGGAUUGGGUUUGAGUAUACCUUCAAACACAGGCCAGCUGGCUGGGGAGCGGACAUGAACACUGUGUGCUGUGCAAACAAGGCAAAGGAAACCUAUUUGGAAGACAAAAGGAUUAGUUUAGAUACUGUGAACUGUGUUGAUUAAAAGUAAAUAGGAAAACUAGUUGUCAUACGUAAUUUGUUUGCACUAAAGCAACAAAAAAUGUCUAAAAUGUUUUGCUAUGCUGUGUGACAGCCAACAUAUUGGUGUAGUGGAACCAGACAUGCGUUGUGCUGCAGGGACAGGUCUCCGCGUUCCUGGAAGCAGCCAGCGCCGUUUACUCCUCGAAUGUCUCUAGCCGCAUGCACCUGAUGAGGAAGCUCCGUGGUUCUGUGGGAAAUGACAGCUAUGAAUGUAUAAACUGUAUUUAUGUCCCAUUUAUCUGGAACAUCACUUACUGUGUUUGUCUAAAGCCCUAUGAAUCACAGUAAAGAGUAGGAAAUCAAGCAUUUUUUUCCUAAAAUACUGCUGAAGGUGUAAUGAUUAAUUAAACUGAAAUUAAACAAGGCAAAGUGGAAUAUAGGACUCAGUGACAAUCACAGGGGAAUUCUUAGGGCCUGGGGGCUUGAGAAUAUUUCAUAAGCACUUCAGGAUUUGCUUUGUUUAGGUCCAAGGAAGUGAUCAUUUUAUUGUACUAAAAUAUUAAGAUCCCCUGCCUCCUGGGAUAUAUUAACUGUCAUGUGACUGUCCAGCAGUUUUAUGGUCAAAUAAAUUGAUCCUAUUACAGCUAUAUGUAGCAUUUAUAAAUAUGUAAUAGUACAGAUUUAUUUACUUUGCUGUACAGUAUAUUGUAUAUACUGAAUGCGUCCUACGCAUUCGGAGCAAAUUCAACAAAUCGGCUCAUCAGCUGGUUGCUCUCGUCAGACCAUUUCUGGGCCAGUGCUUGGCUAGAUGCUACUGUACGUGCCAAAGCGGCCGCACUCACGGUUUCCUAGCACAACACUGACCACAGCUUCACCCCGCCUUGGCUGGAUUGCCUUCCUCCCAUAGCACAUCAUGUGCCAUGUGUUCCCCAGAUAAGUGCAACACACACAAGUCAUCCACAUAAGACCAGGCCGCCCUCUUCAAAUGCAUGUGCUUCUGAUCAUGCCCACACUUUCUGAGGAGAGCAGGGGUCAGUGACUAUGACUGGACUGUAGAUUUGCAGCCCCCAAGGUGAUGCACUGUGUAUUAUGACUUUCUAUCACAACAGUAUUAGGUUUCUCAGCAAUAUGAGCCAGCCCUCACUUCCCAAAUGCAACAGUGAGCUUCGGCCGCCCUGUCUCUGAAGAGAUAGUUCUAUUCACCUCACCUUCAUGGGUCAGAAUGUAAUGGUCUGUGUACUUCUGUAGUCAAUAAAAAGUCACAGAUAUUAACUUGGCAUAAAAAGCAGAUUAACUUUGUUCUGCAACGGAAUCGUAAUACUGUAAGUAGUGUUGAAGCUAUUUUAAUUUGCUAAAAAAUCUUGUCUUUUUCCUGUGCCUGGCACAAUAAAGUUUGUCUCUAGCAAA